GGUAUGUGACAGAAUGACAUGGAAGUAGGCAAGCCUCUCCCAGACCAGCCGCAAGCCCAGCCUUAAAGAGGCCCACCAUGGGGGACUCGCUGCCCCGCGGUGGGGCCCCCAGGAAGGGGAAAAUUGUCAACCUUCGCAUCCAGUUCCUGGAUGACUCCGUCCAUGCAUUCCAGGUCCCUGUAAAAGCUUUGGGUAUGGCUCUUUGGGAGGCUGUGGUUCGACAUCUACAGCUGGUCGAGUCGGACUACUUUGAUCUGCAGUUUGGAGACAAAAAUGGCCUCAAGUGCUGGCUGGACAAUGAAAAGCCUAUCCUAAAGCAGCUGCCAUCACCGGACUCUCCGCUGGAAUUCUGUGUCAAGUUCUACACACCCGACCCAGGCUUGCUGGACGAGUACACUAGGUAUUUAUUUUCACUGCAAAUUAAAAAAGAUCUAGCAACAGGCAGCAUGCAGUGCAGUGAGAACACAGCAGCUUUAGUGGCUUCCUAUAUAGCUCAAGCGGAGAUUGGGGACUUUAUAGUAGAGGAGUACCUAGACCAUACAUAUCUCAAGUCACUGAAUGCUUUCGUACCUCACCAGACUGAAGAGCUCCUCAAGAAAGUCAUGGAGUAUCACCGACAGCACAUUGGAGAAACUCCUGCAGAAGCAGAAUCUAGUCUUUUAGACACGGCCAGAAAGGUGGAUACUUAUGGCGUGAAACUCUGCUCAGCCAAAGACCACGAGAAUGUGUCCCUUCACCUGUCCAUUGCCCAUGUAGGCAUCCUCGUCUUCCAGUUACAUACCAAGAUCAACACCUUCUCCUGGGCGAAGGUCCGCAAACUCAGCUUCAAACGCAAGAAGUUUCUUAUCAAACUCCACCCGGAGAGCUACCCAGUCAAAGAUAAGGGCACAUCUGUUUCAUCACAGGCAUUCAAAGAUAAGGGUUAUUAUAAAGACACAGUGGAAUUCUUCUUUGAAAGUAGGGAUGAAUGUAAGAUAUUCUGGAAAAAAUGUAUAGAACAUCAUGCCUUCUUCCGUUGUCAUACGGUUAAAAAGGUGCCUAGGAACAAGACACGAUUGGUCAGCCGAGGAUCUUCCUUCAGGUACAGUGGCAGGACCCAGAAACAGUUAAUGACCUAUGUGAGAGAAACGUGUGUCAAGAGUCCCUCCUUUGAAAGGUCGGUCAGUGGACGCAUCUCAUGUAGCCGGAGCGCCAGUGUCACACCAAAAAUCACAGCUAAGGCGGGGCUCCACAACUCGACCGCAGACACUCACAACAGCACAGCCUCCAGUGGUUCUCACAUCCUGUCCCAAGGCCCAGAGGACCCUACCACGCCGAGUCGUACAGAGACAGCUGAAGUCCACAGUGUAGACAGUUCGCUGUCUGGCAGUCGAUCACUCCCAUCACCAAAGCUUGACCGCAGCAGAGAGGGAACGCCCGGAGCGGAGGUUGAUCUUCCAGACGACGAUGCAUUAGCUUCCCCGGAGCGCAGAGACGACAGAAUCGACGAAAGAGAUGCCCCGCCCCCAUAUCCUGGAGUGGGUCAUGCCCCGCACCCUCACGCUCUACGGCACUCCGAUAGGAAGUUCUCUGCUCCAGUCUUCGGUUCACGAGAUACAGCUCCACCGAUGCCCAAUGAGAACCGUCUGUCACGCUGUGAUGAAGUGGAGAACAUACCGGAAGUCGUCCAAGAGGAACCAAAAACAGAUGAGAUCGUUUCUCAUCCACCCCAAUUUCAGAGGAGUGCUACAUCGCCAUACAUCGAACACGACCUAGAAUCUCCACCACCCCCUCCCCCUCCCCUGGACCCUGGGGAGCUGGCCCUGAGUCCCCCAUCUUUACGGUCUACCCCUAAUAGGCAGCAGGACCCUGACUCCUCCCAGUCCAUCGACGGUCACGUUCCGCGGAGCAAUGUCAGUGUCCUAUCCUCGUCUCGUACAGAGGACUCAGAGGAUGACCCGAAACGCAAAAUCAAGCGACACCCUGCUGACCGGGCAUACUACAUUGCUAAAGAGUUACUGAUGACUGAACGUACAUAUCGCAAGGAUCUCGAGGUCAUAACAGUGUGGUUCCACAAUGCAGUAAGCAUGGAAGGGGCUGUGCCAGAGCCCACUGAGAACUUGUUCUCAGCCAUGGAGCCAAUCUACCAGUUCCACAGUAAAUUUCUCAUGGACAUCGACCAGCGUAUCUCAAUGUGGGAAGGUAAAUCAAAUGCUCACCUGAACGGUGACUACCAGAGAAUCGGUGACGUGCUGAUGAACAACCUCCCGAAGGCUCUAACGGUGUUCUAUAAGAAUUAUUUAGAUAAACAAGAAGGAAUUCUAACAGAGCUGGAACAUGCAGUCAAAAAACAGAAAUCUUUUGAGAAAAUGUACAAGGAAUUUGAGUCACAGAAAGUGUGUUACCUCCCCUUGAACACAUUCAUUCUCAAACCAGCACAGCGAAUCCUUCACUAUAAACUUCUCUUGGAACGUCUGACAAAGCAUUACUCUAAAGAUCACCAGGACUUCGCAGACUGCAGUGCUGCCUUGUCCAAGGUGAACUCUUUAGUGUCGGAAUACAAGGAAAGAAUGAGAACACAGGAGAAUUUACAGAAGCUGAUGGAGAUACAGAGAGAUUUGGUUGGUCUGGACACACUUGUACAUGUAGACAGGAUUUUCAUUCGGGAAGGAUGCCUCCAAAAAUUUUCGAGAAAAGGAUACCAACAGAGGAUGUUUUUCUUGUUUUCUGACCUGUUGGUGUACACCAGUCGGACGACGACACAUCUACUACAGUUCAAAGUUCAUGGCCAGCUCCCUCUACGAGGCAUGAUUGUAGAGGAGUCCGAUCAUGCCAAGAUGGCUGUCGCCAACAGCUUUGCAAUAUAUGGUGGCAACAAGUGUAUCUUAGUGGCAGCUAGUUCUCAAGAGGAAAAAGAUAAGUGGAUAGAGGAUCUAAAUGAAGCCAUUAUCCAAGCUAAAAACAGGAAUGAUGAUAAACUGAAGUAUUCUAGUCUGAAAUCCUCCACAAGUUCAUCAGAAAAUGUCGAAGGUGAAGGUCAGAGUGGAGAGGUGAAUGGGUCACCGCCUGAAAAACAGAUCCAGCACCGAGCCAACACCACGAUGCAUGUGUGUUGGCAUAGAAACACGAGUGUUAGCAUGCGGGACCAUGACAAGGCGGUCAAGAAUCAACUGAGUGGUUACCUGCUGCGCAAGUUCAAGAACAGCAACGGCUGGCAGAAACUCUGGGUGGUGUUCACAAACUUUUGUCUAUUUUUCUACAAAACUUAUCAGGAUGAUUUUCCCCUGGCCAGCCUGCCGUUGCUAGGUUACGCUGUCAACACUCCAGAGGAAGAGGACGGGAUACACAAAGACCACGUCUUUAAACUCCAGUUCAAAAAUCAUGUGUACUUCUUCAGGGCGGAGAGCGAGUAUACCUUUGAGAGGUGGAUGGAAGUGAUUAACCAUGCUACAAACAGUUCUCGCCGUGUUCGACUUUUCAGCAGGAUGGAUAGUAACCAAUUGUCAUAGCACUAACCACCGGCAGCCAAUCAAAACCUGUGUGUCUGCCCGUCAUCGUAACACCUAGCUGAGUCAGCCAUAUUGUCGCCUACCACUCCAGGAACAUUUGUGAUCACCAUGAAUUAGCAUAACCUGAUAUUCAGAAACCUAAUCAGACAUAGGACAGUGAUGACUUUUUAUACAUAAAUGAGGAAAUAUCAAUAUAGUUGAAAUGAGCAUAAUUGGAAAUUUCCUGGAUAAAACAUGUUGUGAAUUUUGUGACGAAGAAUUUGAUUAUAUGGUGCGUUUUACGAUGACUAGUGUUUCGGUGUUUUAACACGGCAAGACUGCAUCAUGUGUAUGGUUGCACUGUGAAUGUGAUCAUGUUUAAACUAUAUAUCAGACUUUUUUUUCGAACAAUUGUGUAAAAAAUUUGUCGUGUCUGAAACCAGUCAUAACAGUGAUACAUAAUCAAUUUUUAAAUAUUUUUUAGUUUGAAUGAAGGGAGACUGAUUUUGAAUGAAAUUCACCUCUUGUAAUCGGUUACAUGUUAAUAUACUUUACCCUGUACAUCAUUUUAAAAUAGGUGAGGACAUCAGAUUUAUAUAAAGGGAAAUAUUUUUAAUGUUAUGAUUUUUAACCAUUAAAUUAUAUACAUGUUUAUUAAUAUAUGGAAUGUAUUAUCAAAGUAUUAAUUUGUAUUCAAAUUAUUUACCAAAAGUUUCAGCCGGGAGUUUAGAAAAAUAUCUUUUAAAGUGAUUAUUUGUGUAAUUAUUUACAAUUCAGAAUCGGGGUCAGGAGGUGGUCACUAAAUUGUACUGCAGUAGUAAAUGAAAUCGUAGCAUUCUUGUCAGACAUAUCAGUCUGAUAUUUUUAAGAGUGCUGAUAAUGAUAAUGUGAUUUGUGAUAUAUGUAACACUGAGUGUAAUGCUUUGAUAUAAUGCUCAAAGACCCUGUAAUUAUAAUUCAUUGGAGACCCACAUAAAUGAAAUUUUAAAAUGCUUGAAGAUGUAUGUUUGCUUUAAAAUUACAUAUUUCACAAUAUUAUAAUCUGAAUAGUUAUCCAAGACCCAAACUAGAUUUUAGUAUACACUACUGGUAUAUUAUCAUAAUUACAAUAUAUUAUAUAUAACUACAAUACACUAUAAUCUUAACAUUACCCAAGAUCUAAAAUAAAAGUUAAAUGCUGAAAUUUUAUUUUCAUAAUGUUUUUGGAGAUGCAGGAAAAAGCUUUGACAAGGUCGUCCAAUUCUCAAAACAAUCUCAAUGUUACCGGUAAAGUGAUUUGUGGAGAUUUGAUGUCUGCCUCUCCCUGAACUAUGCAUAAUAUCUUAAUGCAACUAGUGAAAUGUGAAAUAGAUACUAGGUAUAUAUUAUGUAUACCUGUAUGUAGAUGUAUAGCUGGAUGUUUUAGGUACAUAUGUAUGUAGGUACAUGUUUGUCCAUAACCGUAUGUCAAUGGUCGACAUGUUUAGUUUGUACACAUUAGAUCAGGCUUCAAUCUCAAAAUCUGUUAUUUAAUUUUUAAUAAAGUUAAAACAUAACCAUUGGAAUUUGAUUUAAGAAUAAUAUUGUAAUUCCAGUAUUUUUAAAACAGAAACUGUGAGUUGGAAUUUGUCCCAAUUCCCCGUGUGGUGUUGACCGACACAGAGGUAAUUCCCCGUGUGGUGUUGACCGACACAGAGGUAAUUCCCCGUGUGGUGUUGACCGACACAGAGGUAAUUCCCCGUGUGGUGUUGACCGACACAGAGGUAAUUCCCCGUGUGGUGUUGACCGACACAGAGGUACACUGUACCUCUGUUUACACAUUUGAGUGGCAUUCGUAUUUUUAUAAUAGAACUUUUUUCAACUAAAAUGUUCUGUUAAAAUGUUUAUUUGCUGAAAGAGGCAAAUUAAAAAAAAAAAAAAAGGCCUAAAACAGAAUUAUACAGCCAAACCUGUAUAUAAAGGCCGCUCAACAGAACACAGGAAAGUGGACUUUAAACUGAAAUCAGUGGUCUUUUUUGACAGGUUUUUGUUAAGCCAAGGUUGUCUUGAUUGACAGGUCUUUGUUAAGCAGAUGUGGUCUUUAUAGACAGUUUGUUGUUAAACAGGUGGUCUUUAUAGACAUGUUCUUGUUAAGCAGAUGUGGUCUUUAUAGACAGGUUGUUGAUAAACAUAUGUUCUUUAUAGACAGUUUCUUGUUAAACAAAGAUGGUCUUUAUAGACAGGUUCUUGUUAAGCAUAUACGGUCUUUAUAGACAGGUUCUUGUUAAACAUGUGUCUUUAUAGACAGGUUCUUGUUAAACAGAUAUGGUCUUUAUAGACAGUUGUUAAACAGAUGGUCUUUAUAGACAGGUUCUUGUUAAGCAGAAAUGUUCUUUAUAGACAGUUUCUUGUUAAGCAUAGAUGGUCUUUAUAGACAGUUUGUUGUUAAACAGGUGGUCUUUAUAGUCAGGUUCUUGUUAAGCAGAUGUAGUCUUUAUAGACAGGUUCUUGUUAAGCAGAUGUGGUCUUUAUAGACAGGUUCUUGUUAAACAGGUGUCUUUAUAGACAGGUUCUUGUUAAGCAGAGGUGGUCUUUAUAGACAGGUUCCUGUUAAGUAGAGGUGGUCUUCGUAGACAGGUUUUUGUAAAGCAGAGGUGGUCUUCAGGGCAGAUAUGGCUAACUUGUGGCUAUUGUAAAGUAUUAAACUAUUGUGAAUUAAUUAACAGAAAGUUAAUGCAUCCUGUUGAGAAAAUAGUGAUGCUUUAUAAAUGUAUUUUUUAAUACAGAUAUGUAGGCUAAUUCUCAACCAUGCAUAUCAGUGUUACUAAAAGUCACAAAAAUAUUCACAGUUGUAUAGGGCUAUUUUAUUGUAUAAUUGUUUAAUCAUGUUUGAUAGAAUAUUAAGUUGUAAUAUUGCACUAGUCAUAUUUUUUUAUAUCAAAUUAAUGUUGAUUUUAUGGAAAUGUUAAUCAUUCAUACCAAUUACUGUUGACAACAAGGCUAAGCUGCUGACGCACCGACACCAAAGAAUACAAUGUUCAAUUUUGAUACAUUGAGCAGUUUAGUAUCAGGUAGGAAGAAAUGUUACACCAAAUUUUCUAACACAUAAGUUCUAAGAACAUUCUGAAAAACAAAUGUUCUGUGUUUUUUUGUCCAGUGGUUCAAAUCCUGAGACAAAAGGGACAUACCAGACCAUCUUAUAAUACCGGGUUUUAACAAUCUGUCUGGCUAUUUUAGCUUGAACUUUUGACAUUAUAUAACAUAUCAAUUUUAUUUUUUUAUUAGAUUGUAUAAAAAACAUUUUCUCAUUUGACUACAGGCACAAUUGUAAUUGAUUUAGGAUUUACAAAUAGAAAAGUGUUUAAAAGUAGAAUAAUUAUGAAUGUGUACUGUACAUAUUCACGUAUAGUGUGCACUUUUUUCUUAAAUUGACAAGUCAAAAAAAUCACUGGGCACUAUAGGUACAAUCCUUUGCGGGUCAGAUGCAUGGAUGUCAUGAAUGUGAUUUGAGAUUGUAAUUGUCAUUUCAUGACAUGGGAUGGAAAAGAUUUUACUUCUGUUAGAAUAUGUACUAAGUGAAAAUAAUAGUAAAUGUACAAAUUUUUAUCUCCUUACCUAGUCAGUCGUGGACAUUUUCUUCCCUUUUGUCACAUGUGUUGGACCAUAUAUUCACUGUUCCUGACACGUGCCUUACCCGCUCUAUAAGUCACACAGAAAAACCAGUCAUCUUUUCCUUUUACUGCUGGUUAUCCUGACAAUUAAUACAUUAUCAUCAAAGUCAAUUACUAUGAUGGAGUUGUCUCCCUUUCUGAUACAAAAUUGUGGUGAGGUAUUUCUUCUGGGUAUUGUCAGAAUCCUAAAUAUUGCUGUUUUCUUGUUGAUGUUUGUUUAAUUUAAUGUACCACAAAUAGUAUUGUAAAAGGUUAUAUCAAAAUUAUGCAUUUAAAAAAAAGAAAAGAAUUCAAUUUCAUUUUCAUUUCACUUCGGUUGUGUUCAGCAUAAUAUACAGUGCAUUUUGGACUAUGAGAUGUUCUGUUCUUUUACUGAUAAGGAUAUCCAAAUGAUUUGUUUAAAUCUACACACACAUAUAUAUAUGUAUGAAACUUGCUAUUGUACAAAACUGAAAGAAGAACAUAAGUUAGUAUCCAGCAUGAUUGAUGUGUUCCAAUUAGUGUUAAAAAGUUAGUGACAUAUCUUUAAAAUACCACAAAAGUGCUUUAUCAUACAAAUUACAAGUUAUGGUAUUAGUUAUACAACAAGCAGGUAUUAGUUCACAAAUGAAAAUGAAGUCUUUUCCCCACCUCAAAGUUUAGAUGACUGAUGUCUAGAUUUUUGCUGGAGGAAGCUAUGUGGGAAGAGUUAGGUAUCAGUAUUUUAUCCAUGUAACUAGGCAACAUAGUUUGACGCAGGUUUUCUAUUCGUCAAAUUUAUUCAGAAAUGUUACCAAUUAUCAUGUGUAUUGACCACCCUCCGUAUUACCCCAUAGUUCUGAUAUUGAUGUUACUAAACUGCAUUUCAGUGUAAAAUAAGUUGUAUAUCUCAAAUGUACACAAAGUAUGUUGUAUUAUAGAAAUUGUGAAAAACCCUACUAUAAUGUACAGUACUUAACAUGUAUAUAUAUAUUAUUUUUAAACAAAUUUUAAUGUGAAACAUUUGUACAUUGUAAUUUAUGUGUUUAUUGUGUAUUCUUAAAUAUCAAUUCCUGAAAUAAAACUAGCUUUUUCAGUUUUAAUUAAUUGAGACAGGCUUUUCCGGUUUUAAUUGAGACUGACUUUUAAGUUUUAAUUAAUGGAGACUGGCUUUUAAGUUUUACUGCUUCUAUUACUUUGCAUAUUUAUUGUUUUCGAUGUGCAAAAACGUUUUAUCAUAAUUAUCUCCCCUUGACUCCAAUAUCGUAGGAAGGUGGUAACUUGUUCAUGUUGAAAUAUGUGGUGUUCAAAACUUAUGCAAGUAUGUAUACGAUGUUUUGUUGUGUGUUCUGAUACCUUCAUUAAAUCCUCGGUGAAUUUAAACAAAUUUAGAUUAUUCUAGCAAGUGUAUGAGUUAAAACAAGGAUGUCAACCAAGUGAAACUUUAUUGUAUUUUUGAAAAUAUAUUUAAAAUAAAAAAAUUGCUAAACUUCUAAAUAAAUCUUUUUAAAAAGUACACAUUCAAUUUUAAAGUGGGCUAUUUUAGGACUGUUUUAUCAGAAAAAGUGCAGUAUGUGUGUGCAAUUAUAAGGACACUUGUACAGCCUUAUAUAGACAUGUGUUAUAAUUAUCAUAUUUAUCUCUGCCAUAUCGAACAAAAAAAAUGUAACAGGUCUCUUUAUACAAGGUACAGGAAUAAGAAAGCUUAUUUAUUUGAUAUUAGGGUUUUGAAUAAGAGAAAUAUGGCACAUCUUCAUUUUAUUGAUAACUUGAAUAUUAAUUAAAUUUUGAUUUGAUAGGGCUUUCUCAAGGAAUUAACUUUUCUCUUUUAAUUAUAAGUAUCUAACUAGCAUUGCGCCAACUUCACAUUCAAGUGUAGAAACUGACAUAGAAUGUUUGAUGGCAUUUUCAAAAGAGUCAAUCCAAAAACAUUGUCAGUAUUGUCUGAAAUCUUACAUUUCCUUUUUUACUCCUUGUAAAUGAUAAUCGUAAGAAAAUCAUUACAUAUCAGGUUUUAGGACAACUUCUUGAGAAUUAUAAUACUGGCAACACUUAACUUAUUGAAGUUUUAGAUAAACUACAACAAAUUCAUAGUACAUACUAUAUGUAGUAUACAGAAAUCAAGGAGUUACUUCCCUUACUAUACAGAUUGACGGAGUUACUUCCCUUACUAUACAGAUUGACGGAGUUACUUCCCUUACUAUACAGAUUGACGGAGUUACUUCCCUUACUAUACAAGAUUAAUGGAGUUACUUCCCUUAUCAUUGGUGCUGACUUUUAACAUAUUUAACCAUUUAUACCAUGUAACUUCUGUGUAUGUUCUAACAUUCAACAGUUAUCAUAUAUAUAUUUCCUGUCAAGGUGAAAUAAAGCCUAUUCAGAUAUUGGUAUUCUUUGUAGAGCUGUAUAAAUCCACGGUCAUGUGUGUGGUGUGUGCAAUGGUGAAGGCGUCAAUUUCCUCAACUGACGCAUACUGUAAUAAUUGUUCAUCCCAGAAACAAAAUGGCUUCUUUGACAAGAGCUCUCACACUAACAACUCCGGCAAUGUGACUUACACCACAUCUGAUCAUGAUUCACAUUGGACUCGAUGAAAUUUUCUGUUUUGUAACUUAAUAAUGGGGACCUUUUUCUGAAAGCAAUCAGCAUCUCCCUGUAACCUAUGCUUUACUGUCAAGAUAUUGUUUUGUUUAAUAUACAGAUCACAAACUUGAUUUACUUUUAAAUUACAUGCAGUAUACAUGUUCUGUAAUAAUGCCAUUUCAGUAGAAAAUAUUUUCCAGUGAAUUCUUUACAUAUCACCUACAGUAUUACGUCAGAUGUUUUGUGCGAAUGCCGUGGAGUUCCAAUUUGUAUCUGCCAUACUCUUGGUUAUUACAUCUCCAGUGAUGGUCCUUGAAACAGUUUUGUUUCUUCUAUACUGUAUAUUAAAUGUUGGUCUACAUCAUUGAAAUGCUUGCCGCCUAUGAAUUGUCAGUCAACAUCAUCAAAAUGCUUAUUUCUUUCGAAGGGCCAGUCUAUAUCACUGAAGUGUUUGUUUCCUAUAUAGGAUCAGUCUGCAUCAUUGAAAUGCUUGUUUCCUUUAUCCUUGACAUCAAUUUUCCAGACUAAAGAGUAUAUCUAACAGACAUGUAAUUACAUUACUUAAAACUUGCAGUGUCCUGUAAACCAUGUGUGUAUCCUGUCCCACAUACAGGGUGUAACAUAUACUUGGAGUUAGGUAUUCAGUGUGUAUGACCACAGACUUGGAUCUAUCAAUCCAUGUCUGAUGUGACUAGAGCCAUAUAGCCCCUACUUACUCGCCUGAAUUUACACUUAUGCUUUCAGAUUUUAUGGUCAGCUUCUUGUAAUAAAUCAUGAUCAAUUAAAUCAGGAAAACAUCUUCAUUCCACACAUUUGUUUAGAAACUAAUUAAUAAUUAAACUUCUUUUUUGUUAUUAAAUUUCACAAAACUUUGAGUAACUUUUGUUGAUCUGGUCAUUUGAUAUGUAUAACAGAUAUGAUAGUGUACAUAUAAAGUAGUGUACAGUUUUGAUAAAAUAUUGUGUACAUAUGUAUCAAAAUGUCCAGUCUAACAAGGUUAUACUUUAUACCAAUCAUCUACCAACAUGGUCUACCAAUUGUGUAUAGUCCUUUACGUGUAGUACAUGUGACUGGAUAUCACGAAUGACAAUAUCCAGACAAACACAUUUCCCCCCAAACAUACCCGUCAUUGUUCUACAACCUCCAUCAAUGUCUGGUGUACAUAUAUUCUGUGUUAAUUGUUACAGUGAAUAUCUCCUCUACUGAGUUAGAACUAGUACAAACACCUCUAGUGUAAAUUUAUGUGGUACACCUCUAGAGUUAUCAUGUAUAUUCCAGUAGUGUACAGAUUUUUGUACACCUCUGCUCCCAUUGUACACUUGUACAUGCAUCAUUCUUAUCAUUUAUAUUCAUGCCAUAUCAGAAACAAAAGUGUAGAAAUAAAGAAAAGCCAUCAAAUACAAA